GACGAACGCUGGCGGCGUGCUUAACACAUGCAAGUCGAACGGAAAGGCCCUGCUUUUGUGGGGUGCUCGAGUGGCGAACGGGUGAGUAACACGUGAGUAACCUGCCCUUGACUUUGGGAUAACUUCAGGAAACUGGGGCUAAUACCGGAUAGGAGCUCCUGCUGCAUGGUGGGGGUUGGAAAGUUUCGGCGGUUGGGGAUGGACUCGCAGCUUAUCAGCUUGUUGGCGGGGUAGUGGCUUACCAAGGCUUUGACGGGUAGCCGGCCUGAGAGGGUGACCGGCCACAUUGGGACUGAGAUACGGCCCAGACUCCUACGGGAGGCAGCAGUGGGGAAUAUUGCACAAUGGGCGGAAGCCUGAUGCAGCAACGCCGCGUGCGGGAUGACGGCCUUCGGGUUGUAAACCGCUUUCGCCUGUGACGAAGCGUGAGUGACGGUAAUGGGUAAAGAAGCACCGGCUAACUACGU
rnacentral:rRNA from 1 species